UGGGGAAUCUUGCACAAUGGGCGCAAGCCUGAUGCAGCCAUGCCGCGUGUAUGAAGAAGGCCUUCGGGUUGUAAAGUACUUUCAGCGGGGAGGAAGGCGAUAAGGUUAAUAACCUUGUCGAUUGACGUUACCCGCAGAAGAAGCACCGGCUAACUCCGUGCCAGCAGCCGCGGUAAUACGGAGGGUGCAAGCGUUAAUCGGAAUUACUGGGCGUAAAGCGCACGCAGGCGGUCUGUCAAGUCGGAUGUGAAAUCCCCGGGCUCAACCUGGGAACUGCAUUAGAAACUGGCAGGCUAGAGUCUUGUAGAGGGGGGUAGAAUUCCAGGUGUAGCGGUGAAAUGCGUAGAGAUCUGGAGGAAUACCGGUGGCGAAGGCGGCCCCCUGGACAAAGACUGACGCUCAGGUGCGAAAGCGUGGGGAGCAAACA
rnacentral:rRNA from 1 species